rnacentral:rRNA from 1 species
UACGUAGGGUGCAAGCGUUGUCCGGAAUUAUUGGGCGUAAAGAGCUCGUAGGCGGUUUGUCGCGUCUGCUGUGAAAACCCGAGGCUCAACCUCGGGCCUGCAGUGGGUACGGGCAGACUAGAGUGCGGUAGGGGAGAUUGGAAUUCCUGGUGUAGCGGUGGAAUGCGCAGAUAUCAGGAGGAACACCAGUGGCGAAGGCGGCUCUCUGGGCCUUACCUGACGCUGAGGAGCGAAAGCGUGGGUAGCGAACAGG